rnacentral:rRNA from 1 species
GACAGAGGGUGCAAACGUUGUUCGGAAUUACUGGGCGUAAAGCGCGUGUAGGCGGCUAAGUGUGUCGGGCGUGAAAUCCCACGGCUCAACCGUGGAAGUGCACCCGAAACUACGUAGCUAGAGUCCUGGAGAGGAAGGUGGAAUGCUUGGUGUAGAGGUGAAAUUCGUAGAUAUCAAGCGGAACACCGGUGGCGAAGGCGGCCUUCUGGACAGUGACUGACGCUGAGACGCGAAAGCGUGGGGAGCAAACAGG